AACAAUUACCAAACAUUAUUUGGAAAACAAUCAGGAAUUCCCGGAUAUGACCUGGUCGAAAUUGAAUUUUCGGAUCCAAUUUCCAGAUUACGGUGUUACCAGGCGAGGCAAGGCCCAGCCGUGGCGUCAGUCGUAAGUCUUUCCUGUGGCCGCCGGUGUCCUCGUGGCAGUCAUUGUGUUAUGGCUGGAAUUGAAUAUUGGGAUUAUAGGAGAUCAACGUGAGUAAAGGAUGAAAUGGAUUUGAUGUUAUUAAUAAUAAUCCAUAGUUUCACAGUAAUCACGUCAACCUAUAGAUAGUUGACGUCUUGAAACUACACUUUUAUUGUGUCAGUAUACAACUAUUACAGAAACAAGAGAAAGAUGUUUGAGUAAACUAGCUAAGUUCUGACGCUCUUGCAGUUUCUUGGCUCCUCUGGAAACAGUAGAUGUCUUCAGUCAGCAGGACAGCCAUUUAGU